rnacentral:rRNA from 1 species
AUUGAACGCUGGCGGCAUGCUUUACACAUGCAAGUCGAACGGUAACAGGCCGCAAGGUGCUGACGAGUGGCGCACGGGUGAGUAAUGCAUCGGAACGUGCCCAGUCGUGGGGGAUAACUACUCGAAAGAGUAGCUAAUACCGCAUACGAUCUAUGGAUGAAAGCGGGGGACCGUAAGGCCUCGCACGAUUGGAGCGGCCGAUGUCAGAUUAGGUAGUUGGUGGGGUAAAGGCUCACCAAGCCAACGAUCUGUAGCUGGUCUGAGAGGACGACCAGCCACACUGGGACUGAGACACGGCCCAGACUCCUACGGGAGGCAGCAGUGGGGAAUUUUGGACAAUGGGCGCAAGCCUGAUCCAGCAAUGCCGCGUGCAGGAAGAAGGCCUUCGGGUUGUAAACUGCUUUUGUACGGAACGAAACGGCUCUGGUUAAUACCCGGGGCUAAUGACGGUACCGUAAGAAUAAGCACCGGCUAACUACGUG